rnacentral:tRNA from 1 species
GGCCACUUAGCUCAGUUGGUUAGAGCGUAUGCUUAACAUCCUCUAUCUGGAUUUACGCAUAAGGUCGGCGGUUCGACCCCGCCAGAGGUCA